UACGUAGGGGGCUAGCGUUGUCCGGAUUUAUUGGGCGUAAAGAGCGUGUAGGCGGCCAGGUAGGUCUGCUGUGAAAACUCGAGGCUCAACCUCGAGACGUCGGCGGAAACCAUCUGGCUAGAGUCCGGAAGAGGAGAGUGGAAUUCCUGGUGUAGCGGUGAAAUGCGCAGAUAUCAGGAAGAACACCCGUGGCGAAGGCGGCUCUCUGGGACGGUACUGACGCUGAGACGCGAAAAGCGUGGGGGAGCGAACAGGG
rnacentral:rRNA from 1 species